GCACCAUUAGCUCAGGUGGUAGAGCAACUGACUCUUAAUCAGUGGGUCGCGGGUUCGAAUCCCCCAUGGUGCACCA
rnacentral:tRNA from 1 species